UUAAUACAACCCUAGGCGGUGGAUCACUUGGCUCGCGAGUCGAUGAAGAGCGCAGCAAACUGCGUGAAUUAAUGUGAUUUGCAGGACACAUUGAUCAUCGAUAUCUUGAACGCAUAUUGCGGUUAUGGAUCGCUUCCAUGACCACGCCUGUCUGAGGGUCGGUAUU
rnacentral:rRNA from 1 species